rnacentral:rRNA from 1 species
GACGAACGCUGGCGGCGUGCCUAAUACAUGCAAGUCGAACGCAGUGGGGACGGGUGCGUAACACGUGGGUAACCUCCCAUCAGAGGGGAUAACACUUGGAAACAGGUGCUAAACCGAUACUGAUGGAUGUACCCGCGGUGCAUUAGCUAGUUGGUGAGGUAACGGCGCACCAAGGCCACGAUGCAUAGCCGGCCUGAGAGGGUGAUCAGCCACACUGGGACUGAGACACGGCCCAGACUCCUACGUGAGGCAGCAGUAGGGAAUCUUGGGCAAUGGACGAAAGUCUGACCGAGAAACGCCGCGUGAGUGAAGAAGGUUGUCGGAUCGUAAAACUCUGUUGUUAGAGAAGCGGUAUCUAACCAGAAAGCCACGGCUAACUACGUGCCAGCAGCCGCGGUAAUAC